GUGCUUGCUUCGGCAGCACAUAUACUAAAAUUGGAAUGAUACAGAGAGAUUAGCAUGCCCCUGCGCGAGGAUGACAUGCAAAUUCGUGAAGUGUUCCAUAUUAAA
ensembl:snRNA U6 U6 spliceosomal RNA